rnacentral:rRNA from 1 species
UACAAACUAAAUGAUGGUGAAACUGCAAAUGGCUCAUUACAACGGUUAUGAUGUACCCGGGAGUUCCGAUGGAUAUUUCCAGUAACACUAGAACUAAUACAUGCUCCUGCGUUUAUUAGUUUCGCACAGUCCGUCGCUGAGUCAUGGUAAACAGUUGAUCGACUCGACGUCCCGGAACAGUUUCCGCCCCAUCAGCUUCGAUGGUUGGGUAUUGGCCUACCAUUGCAACAAUGGGUAACGAGGAAUUAGGGUUUGAUUUCGGAGAGGGAGCCUGAGAAACGGCUACCACAUCUACGGAUGGCAGCAGGCGCGCAAAUUACCCAAUGCAGACUCUGUGAGGUAGUGACGAGAAAUAAUAAAGCGGGACUUCUGUUUCGCUAUUAUAAUGAGGAAUAACCAAAGGUCAUUCCGAUUAGCAACUGAUGGGAAAGUCUGGUGCCAGCAGCCGCGGUAAUACCAGCGUCAGUAGCAUAUAUUAAAAUUGUUGCAGUUAAAACGUCCGUAGUCUGUACGUCGUCCCAAACUCACUGCAGUCUUCCGUUUUCUUCAUUGAAUGCGGUAGUUUCUGCAGUCACUCCCUUGAUCAAAUUAGGUUGUUCAAGGUAGACCAAGUCUUCAUAUUUUCACAUGGAAUUGGGUGAGGGAACUUAAGAGUUUAAGUUUCUCGUCUUAGGAUCAUCCGGGGUCAUUCGUACUCGUCCGCGAGAGGUGAAAUUCUUGGACCGGACGAAGACGACCAGCAGCGAAAGCAUCUGUCAGGGAUGUUUUCUGCGACAAAGGACGAAGGUCAGG